CUUCUUAAAUAAAUAAAUGUUUCUGGCUUAGUGGUCUCAUUUAGUAGAACACAAAUUCACAGAGAUAGAGGGAGUCAAUACGGGCAGAAUGGAAGAAUAGGGCAAAUAUUUUACUAAUCAAAAAUGGCUCCAUUAUCUUGGGAAUUCCAGAAUCAGGAGCAGAAUUCUCACAGCUAGGCUAAUUACUUUAAUAAGAUCUGCUUUAUUUAAAAAGAAAUAGUUGAAAAGAUACUUUUAAAACCUGGAGCAAAUGUUGGUAUUAACCUAGGAGAGAAUACCUCAGUCAGCCUCUAGUUCAAAUCCCACACCUUUUUUUUUGAAGUGUUGACAAACUAUGAAAUACAAUUGUACAUCAUCAAAACAGCUACCACUUAUGGAGUGUUCUCCUUUUGAUAGGUACCUUUUCAGGGCUUUCCAGACCUUUAGUUCUUACUGUUACCCUAUGAAAUCAAU
rnacentral:lncRNA from 1 species